ensembl:lncRNA
CUUUCUUGUUGCAUCAGCAAACAUUUUUUUUUCUUUAAAUGCCAAAUUUAUUCCGCAGCCUAAUCUGGAUGAUGUUGGGGCUGCAGUAUUUCCAUGUUUAUUCUCGUUAGAUAAACUAUAUAACCAGUUUGUAGGUUGUGUCUUGUUUACACUGCUGAUCCAACGAGGUCCAGAGGUAAAUAGUUGUGUAGACCGGAAGCACUGCUGGAGUUCAGGAAAGCAAUUUCCCAGUUUCGUAGCCAGUCGGUGGGAUCUUUAACUGUUUCCACCAUUUACAAACCCCUAGUUGGGACGCCCUCUUCAUUAACAGAUGUUUUUGCAAAUUGUUGUUUGGAGCAAAUAGUUUCAGGACGCCCCUGGAUCAACGGAGACUGCUUCCAAAGAAUGUAUUUUCCCCAAAUACGUAUGUUUUAGUUGUACAUGUUGUUGCUUCGUGUACACAUUUGUCAAUGCAGCCCGUACCAAGUAUUGCUCAAGCACGUGAUCUGGAGCCGGGCGGCGUCUUCAUGCUUGUCAUCGUGUGUAACUUUGUUCACUGUAGAGAGCCGUGGUUGAACAGUGAUACGUCCUUAGUCUACACAAUAGCAAUUACUCAUCUGAAAACAUAAAACACAGUGUGACAAGGUGUGCUAUUGUUCUCGCUAAACUAUUUACUGAGCCACAAGCUUUUGUUAACUUUACCGCCAAUUAAUCUGAAGAACCUCUUUUGUGUGAGAGCUUAAUCGUUUGCUAAUUAGCGUCCUUGCUAACAGACACUCUCGGUGGAAAUAUACGAUUACAUAGCCCAUCGACAGGCUCAGUAAACACCGGCUGUUUGCCAAACUGCCAAAGCAGUCGUUGUAAAACUGGAGAGGGGGCAAAUCAAUCAUGUGUGUGUGUGUCUGUGUGUGUGUGUGUGUGUGUGUGUGCGCAGCUUACUGGAUGUAAGUCUUCCAAUAUUUGUUUGCGAGUGAGUGAGUGACAGGAGAAACAGCAAAAGUGAGACACAUGCAAGAAAUACAAAUGUGAUUGUUUGGUGCAUUUUCCCGCCAGAGCGAAUCCAGUGGACACGUUGGUUGAUUUGUAAGUGAACAUGAGUCUGUGGUGUGGAUAGCCGGGGACAGGUGACCUCACACAGAUGGCUUGUGUGCUGCAAAUACUGCAAGUAGUGAGCGGACAGAGAGAGAAAACAAGGAGGAGCAGAAAGAGUGAUGUUAUCUGACGGAUGCAGGCAUGACGUGGUCAUUACCAGUAUUGGAAGGUAACCAAGUAAUUCCCACAACUUUUACAUUUUAGUAUAUUUGCUGUAGUUAACAAUCCCAUAGUACUUCUAAACCAUUUCAUAUGAUAAUCAUUUUUACUUUUUUUACUACUAAACUGAGUGAACAAAGAGCUUCUUACUUACAGUAGCUGUUCCACUUGGUCCUGCAGUCUGCGUCGUUCCAUGAAAGGCUCGUGAGAUCUGAAGAAUACGACGAUUAACAGAAACACAGCGUACAAAGUGUUGUACUCACAGGAGUUUGGAGCACAGUGUUUGUUCAAAUGAGUCUUUUGUCUCAUCCUCACUUCUGCGUCUCUCUCUGUCUGUGGAUCAGAUCCUUUGCUCUCCUGACUGAAGUUGUGCUUUUCAGUGAUGUGAGUGUAACACGCUGCGCCUCGGUUUUGAUUGUCACCGCAGGCCGACGGAUCACACGGGGCCACAGUCCAUUGGAAAAGAGCCGAGUCCCGUGUGAGGGAGAACCUCAGCAGCUCUCAGCCAACCUGCCCUCCGGGCUUCCAGCCAGUUAACGGACGUGCGUUUCAGUCAGUCAGCCAGGGUCAACUCUGCAUAGAGUGCGUGCUGGCCAAUGAGCUCCACCUCCUCCGCCUACUUCUCCCCUAAAGGACCUAAAACCACCCAUCUAUCUGCUGAUAUAUCCAUCACCCCAUCGAUCCAUCCAUCUAUCCAUUGAUCUACCGAUCCCGUGUUAUCAGUGUCACUCAGUGUCUCUCUCCCACUGAGUCUCUGUCAGUCACGUUGAGCUGCACUUCACUUCCAGCGGUGGCAUGGUUGUCAUGGUGAUCGACCCCGGGGGACUCAUCCCAAAACCCAAAGUUCUGCUUGUCUGAAAUAGAACCUCCGCCUCUCUCCAGGGGGCUCGGGGUACAUUUGGCACAUAGGGAGCCAGCGAGAGAAGCAGAGAGAGAGAGAGAGAAAAUGAGGCAGUGCAUCCAUUCCAACUGGGUCACAUCACGGGAGCAUUGCGUAAGCAUAAACACUGCUGUCCUGUGCUAUGCCCUCAGCGCACACACACACACACACACACACACACACACACACACACACACAAAGCGGAUCAAGCGUUCUGUGCGACAGUCUGUUGUGUUUCUCAGGUACCGUAGAGCACCAAGCUGUGGUCCAUAUCUACUCUCUUGUGCUCUCUCUCUCUCUCUCUCUCUCUCUCUCUCUCUCUCUCACAGCGGAUUAUAAGGAAAGAGCACCAUGACAGCAGUGAGUGAACCCUCGUCUUUGCCAGACGUGGACAGCAGCAUGACGUGGCUCUUUUUUUGCCUGCUCCAUACCCAAACACAUUUACAUGUUUCUGCAGACAUUAGUUUGUGUUCUCAAUGUACCCUGUUGUCAUCAGAACCUUAUGUUACUGGCUUAGAGGAAUUAAGGAUUUUAGCUAUUCAGACUCACAUAUGUUUUGUUUGCUCCAACAGGUCCUGAAUUACGCUUUAGAAGACGAUCCUCCUCAAUGUCUUAGUGCAUUUAUCCAACUUUGCAGUAUCGCUUUAUUUCCCAACAAUUUCCUCUCGGUGGUGGAGCAGCUGCACAGUGGCAGUGCUUCGAGC